GCAAGUCGAACGGUAAGGCCCUUCGGGGUACACGAGUGGCGAACGGGUGAGUAACACGUGGGUAAUCUGCCCUGCACUUCGGGAUAAGCCUGGGAAACUGGGUCUAAUACCGGAUAUGAGCUCCUGCCGCAUGGUGGGGGUUGGAAAGUUUUUCGGUGCAGGAUGAGUCCGCGGCCUAUCAGCUUGUUGGUGGGGUAAUGGCCUACCAAGGCGACGACGGGUAGCCGGCCUGAGAGGGUGAUCGGCCACACUGGGACUGAGACACGGCCCAGACUCCUACGGGAGGCAGCAGUGGGGAAUAUUGCACAAUGGGCGGAAGCCUGAUGCAGCGACGCCGCGUGGGGGAUGACGGUCUUCGGAUUGUAAACUCCUUUCAGUAGGGACGAAGCGAGAGUGACGGUACCUGCAGAAGAAGCACCGGCCAACUACGUGCCAGCAGCCGCGGUAAUACGUAGGGUGCAAGCGUUGUCCGGAAUUACUGGGCGUAAAGAGCUCGUAGGCGGUUUGUCACGUCGUCUGUGAAAUCCUCCAGCUCAACUGGGGGCGUGCAGGCGAUACGGGCAGACUUGAGUACUACAGGGGAGACUGGAAUUCCUGGUGUAGCGGUGAAAUGCGCAGAUAUCAGGAGGAACACCGGUGGCGAAGGCGGGUCUCUGGGUAGUAACUGACGCUGAGGAGCGAAAGCAUGGGGAGCGAACAGGAUUAGAUACCCUGGUAGUCCAUGCCGUAAACGGUGGGCGCUAGGUGUGGGGUCCUUCCACGGAUUCCGUGCCGUAGCUAA
rnacentral:rRNA from 1 species